rnacentral:rRNA from 1 species
UAAGCGGAGGAAAAGAAACCAACAGGGAUUGCCUCAGUAGCGGCGAGUGAAGCGGCAAGAGCUCAGAUUUGAAAUCGUGCUUUGCGGCACGAGUUGUAGAUUGCAGGUUGGAGUCUGUGUGGAAGGCGGUGUCCAAGUCCCUUGGAACAGGGCGCCCAGGAGGGUGAGAGCCCCGUGGGAUGCCGGCGGAAGCAGUGAGGCCCUUCUGACGAGUCGAGUUGUUUGGGAAUGCAGCUCCAAGCGGGUGGUAAAUUCCAUCUAAGGCUAAAUACUGGCGAGAGACCGAUAGCGAACAAGUACUGUGAAGGAAAGAUGAAAAGCACUUUGAAAAGAGAGUGAAACAGCACGUGAAAUUGUUGAAAGGGAAGGGUAUUGCGCCCGACAUGGGGAUUGCGCACCGCUGCCUCUCGUGGGCGGCGCUCUGGGCUUUCCCUGGGCCAGCAUCGGUUCUUGCUGCAGGAGAAGGGGUUCUGGAACGUGGCUCUUCGGAGUGUUAUAGCCAGGGCCAGAUGCUGCGUGCGGGGACCGAGGACUGCGGCCGUGUAGGUCACGGAUGCUGG